AUGGGACGGCCCGCUGGGCUGUUCCCGCCCCUAUGCCCUUUUUUGGGUUUCCGGCCAGAGGCAUGCUGGGAGCGUCACAUGCAAAUUGAGCGUGCACCCAGCGUUCCGCCCUUUCUACGCUGGGCCGGUUAUCGACCCGGCCCAGUGCGCAGGCGCGGGAAAGUUGAACUAAUAAAGUUUGUACGAGUUCAGUGGAGGAGACCGCAAGUUGAGUGGAGGAGGCGGCGGUGGGGCCCCGGACCAGGUCAGCGGGGUGUUGACGAGGGGUGGGGUGAGGAGGGAAGAGGAGGGGGCCGGGAUCCAGUGGUGGGCACCCCAGUCCCGCUUCUCUGAUAUCCAAGGGUCCAGGGUCCUCUAGAUUCCAGCAGGGGUCGGAGAUUUGGAACUACACCUCACAGCAGGCUGCGCGGCGAAGAAGCGCGGACCUAGGGGAAGAUUUGCCCUGAAACCUCUUGGGAUUGGUAGUUCCCGAUGCUUUAAGGGUUUCAGGAGUUUGGCAUAUGCCUCUUAUAGAAUCCAGGAGUUGGGGCGCUAAGCCUCUUCUUCCUGGGAGACCUAAGGGUCUGGGGCUCCAGUUCCUUUUUCUCUAAGACUCAGAAGUCCAGGACCCCAGCUCCCUCCUCCUUUAGACCCACGAAUCUGGGCACCCAGCCCCACCACCUUUCCUUGGAUCGAAGAGUCUUUUUCCUGAUCGCUUUUUCGUCUGAGGACUCAAGAGUCUAGGCCCCCAGACCCACACUCUCCAAAGGACCCAGGAGUCCAGGCCCUCAGCACCUUCCUUGGGACUCACAAGUCCUGGUCCCCAAGCCUCCACUUCUUGCUAAACCCUUGGAGUCCAGUCCCUAACCCUCUCUCUCACAGGUGCCUCCAUGGCAGGCUCUGAAGAGCUGGGGCUCCGGGAAGACACGCUGAGGGUCCUAGCUGCCUUCCUUAGGCGUGGUGAGGCUGCCGGGUCUCCUGUUCCAACUCCACCUAGAAGCCCUGCCCAAGAAGAGCCAACAGACUUCCUGAGCCGCCUUCGAAGAUGUCUUCCCUGCUCCCUGGGGCGAGGAGCAGCCCCCUCUGAGUCCCCUCGGCCUUGCUCUCUGCCCAUCCGCCCCUGCUAUGGUUUAGAGCCUGGUAAGAGAUUUCCAUGAUCAUCUAUGAAGCCGGCAGAACACGGGAUAAGGCCCAGCUACUCCAGACUUCUAUGCUUUGGUGGCCCAGCGGCUGGAACAGCUGGUCCAAGAGCAGCUGAAAUCUCCGCCCAGCCCAGAAUUACAGGGUCCCCCAUCGACAGAGAAGGAAGCCAUACUGCGGAGGCUGGUGGCCCUGCUGGAGGAGGAGGCAGAAGUCAUUAACCAGAAGGUGAUGGGCAUCUGUCCCACUCCUUGGCAAGGACAGGAGUUGCGGAAUGCUGGCCUCGGACCCCGCCCUGCGCAGCAAGCUGGUCCGCCUGUCCUCCGACUCUUUCGCCCGCCUGGUGGAGCUGUUCUGUAGCCGGGAUGACAGCUCUCGCCCAAGCCGAGCAUGCCCCGGGCCCCCGCCUCCUUCCCCGGAGCCCCUGGCCCGCCUGGCCCUAGCCAUGGAGCUGAGCCGGCGCGUGGCCGGGCUGGGGGGCACCCUGGCCGGACUCAGCGUGGAGCACGUGCACAGCUUCACGCCCUGGAUCCAGGCCCACGGGGGCUGGGAGGGCAUCCUGGCUGUUUCACCCGUGGACUUGAACUUGCCAUUGGACUGAGCUCUUUCUCAGAAGCUGCUACAAGAUGACACCUCAUGUCCCUGCCCUCUUCGUGUGCUUUUCCAAGUCUUCCUAUUCCACUCAGGGCUGUGGGGUGGUGGUUGCCCUACCUGUUUUUGCCAAAAAUAAAUUGUUUAAAACUUUUCUUAUUAAAAACGUUACAAAGUA
rnacentral:misc_RNA from 1 species